AGUCCCACCUGGUGUCUGGCCAAAGACUCCCCGGAUGGGACCUCACGGCAUACCGCAGCUACUGUGUGGCGGUACUACUAAUUAGACACAAGCUACCUAAAGAGGCAGUGGUGGAGUUCCAGGUGCAGGACUGGUUGCAGAGAACGCCAGGGACUGACGGUACCACCAUCCGGCUAACCAGCUCCAAGGCGGCAGGGAAUAUCUUCACCCUCAGCCAGCAAGAGGACGAGCUGCUGGGAUGCUAUUUCUACCAUGUGAGGGCAGAAGCCAUCAAAGGCCUGACCUCAGGGCAGGGCAGGUUCUUUGUGAACAAUGGCGGCAACCCACUGAUCAAC